AGUAAUAGCCAGUGCUGGAGGAUCAGGGAGAGUGUGUUCUAGAAGUGUCAGUCCCUGAGUCUUGGCGAUGGCUGGCCUUGGCCCAAUACCCACUGCCCAGCUUCUGGGGCUGUGCUGCCUCAUAACACCCUAGCACAGUUCUCCUUGAUUAGCAUGGGACAUCACCCCUCUCCCUGGCCUCUUUCUCCAGGGCAGGGGGUGCCCAGGCCUCCUGGAGUUGUUUGUCAGGAAUCGGGAGCCCUUAAGAAGGAAAGGAUGUCUAGUUCCCACAGAGCUGAGGUCUCCAGAGCUGCCCUGAUGCCUCCCCUCCCUAAGCCAACUCUUGCUUCAAUUCCUUGAAGCACCUCAGCAUCCUUCCAGUAAAUCCUGCCCUGGUUGUGGUCUGCAACCAGAGGAACUGCAACUAGCUCACCCACUGAAGGAAUCCUGCUUCUGCUACUGCUGCUAAAAAUGACGGAAGUCAUGGAGCGGGUGUGGAAGGACAGGAGGCACCCUCAUCCCACCUCCACAGAGGAACAGACAUCAAGGAGGACUAGAUUUCUGUGUAGCUGAGACUGUCUACCACUGAAGACACCAUGGCAACCUGACUGCCUUACCAAUCAACUUCCUGCAGAAGCCCACAGGUCCAGCAUGUUCUGAAAGUUGGGGGCUCUGCAAUCAGUCACUCAACAAAUGUCAGCUCCAACCCAGAGCCAGUAUUUGGAACUGUCUCUCUGGUGCCCUGAGGAUUUUACACUGCAAGGCAGUGCACCCAGGAAAACCCUGGAAUCCUCAAAUCUGCGUCCAGUGCCAGAGGUUGACCUUGUGGGAUAUCGCAUGGCCCCAGGACUGAGCUUAGAGGCACAAUGAAGUUUUACUUUCUCCAGUUUUACUCAUCAAAGUGUGGAAUUUCACUUCUGUAUUUGUCCAAAGUGUCUCUUUCAAUUCUGAAGGGUGGGACGGGUACAUCUUGUUAUAUUGUACCAAAACUGGUAGUUAAAAUUUCUAAUCACAUUUUAUUUUUCAAAAUAUUGCUGUUUUUUAUUUAUUUUCAGUU